AGCAUUAUACUUACUUUAUUGUAUCUUGAUAUUAGUCUCCAAAGUAAAGAAACCUUACACUCAGUGCAUUAAUUUUAUCUCAGGUGAAGUGUUGUUAAAACAUACUCAGUUUUGAUGCAGGAAACAAGGGUGUUCAGGUCAGUCAGUACAGUGGAGAUGGUCCCCUUUUUCUGAAAAAUCUUCUCCAUGAGAAACAAAAUGUGACCUGUCUCAGAAGUGGCCUUUUGAAUUAAAAUCUUCAAACUGCACAGGUACGGAGAUUUAUGAAUGGCACAAAUUCCCUUCACCUUUCCCCCACUAUUAUCAAAGGUAUCUCCUGUUAGUAACAUAUUCGUUAUAGAAACUUAUGAUGGCAUAUAGAAGGGAUAU
rnacentral:lncRNA from 1 species